CUGGGUUUGACAUCGCCGGAAAACUCGUAGAGAUACGGGGUCCUUCGGGGCCGGUGACAGGUGGUGCAUGGCUGUCGUCAGCUCGUGUCGUGAGAUGUUGGGUUAAGUCCCGCAACGAGCGCAACCCUCGUCCCAUGUUGCCAGCAAUUCGGUUGGGGACUCAUGGGAGACUGCCGGGGUCAACUCGGAGGAAGGUGGGGAUGACGUCAAGUCAUCAUGCCCCUUAUGUCCAGGGCUUCACGCAUGCUACAAUGGCCGGUACAAACCGUUGCGAGCCCGUGAGGGGGAGCGAAUCGGAAAAAGCCGGUCUCAGUUCGGAUCGGGGUCUGCAACUCGACCCCGUGAAGUCGGAGUCGCUAGUAAUCGCAGAUCAGCAACGCUGCGGUGAAUA
rnacentral:rRNA from 1 species